rnacentral:rRNA from 1 species
UACGAAGGGGGCUAGCGUUGCUCGGAAUCACUGGGCGUAAAGGGCGCGUAGGUGGUGGCUUAAGCGUGCGGUGAAAGCUCGGGGCUCAACCCCGAGUCGGCCGUGCGAACUGGGCUCACUGGAGCAUAGUAGAGGCAGGUGGAAUUCCGGGUGUAGCGGUGGAAUGCGUAGAGAUCCGGAAGAACACCGGUGGCGAAGGCGGCCUGCUGGGCUAUGGCUGACACUGAGGCGCGACAGCGUGGGGAGCAAACAGA